rnacentral:tRNA from 1 species
UCCCUGGUAGCUCAGAUGGUAGAAUCUGCCUGCAAUGCAGGAGACCCGGGUUCAACCCCUAGCUUGGGAA